UACGGAGGGGGUUAGCGUUGUUCGGAAUUACUGGGCGUAAAGCGCACGUAGGCGGAUCAGAAAGUAAGAGGUGAAAUCCCAGGGCUCAACCCUGGAACUGCCUUUUAAACUCCUGGUCUUGAGUUCGAGAGAGGUGAGUGGAAUUCCAAGUGUAGAGGUGAAAUUCGUAGAUAUUUGGAGGAACACCAGUGGCGAAGGCGGCUCACUGGCUCGAUACUGACGCUGAGGUGCGAAAGCGUGGGGAGCAAACAGG
rnacentral:rRNA from 1 species